rnacentral:tRNA from 1 species
AGCGGGGUAGAGAAGUGGUAUCUCGCAGGGCCCAUAACCCUGAGAUCCCCGGUUCGAAUCCGGGCCCCGCAACCA